GCCUCCAUAGCUCAGUUGGCCAGAGCAGCUGAUUUGUAAUCAGCAGGUCGUCAGUUCGAAUCUGACUGGAGGCU
rnacentral:tRNA from 1 species